rnacentral:rRNA from 1 species
AUUGAACGCUGGCGGCAUGCCUUACACAUGCAAGUCGAACGGUAACGGGCCUUCGGGUGCCGACGAGUGGCGAACGGGUGAGUAAUGUAUCGGAACGUACCUUUCAGUGGGGGAUAACGUAGCGAAAGUUACGCUAAUACCGCAUAUUCUGUGAGCAGGAAAGCAGGGGAUCGCAAGACCUUGCGCUGAUUGAGCGGCCGAUAUCAGAUUAGCUAGUUGGUGAGGUAAAGGCUCACCAAGGCGACGAUCUGUAGCGGGUCUGAGAGGAUGAUCCGCCACACUGGAACUGAGACACGGGCCAGACUCCGACGGGAGGCAGCAGUGGGGAAUUUUGGACAAGGGGGGCAACCCUGAUCCAGCCAUGCCGCGUGAGUGAAGAAGGCCUUCGGGUUGUAAAGCUCUUUCGGCCGGGAAGAAAUCGCAUCAGCUAAUACCUGGUGCGGAUGACGGUACCGGCAUAAGAAGCACCGGCUAACUACGUGCCAGCAGCCGCCGUAACAC